ensembl:lncRNA
CUAGAGUGUAGGCUGAAAACUGCAUCGAUAGCUUCUGUAUUUUUAUAAUUUGCGUAGUUUGAAGCAAAUGAAUAGGUAAUGGACACCGAUUAAUUGAUAGAGAUCAUACAUAAACUUCAUUCCGUUUUUAUCUGAACAGUUAUCAAUUGGAAAUGUCAAACCAACUCUGAUUAAGCAGAGAUCAGAACUUGCCAGAAGAAGGUUGAGAAAGUCUUGAUUAACAAUGGCGAAGUUAACAACAUAGCAACCUAUUGGAAAUUAGUUCACUCCGUUUCAUGUCAGAAGAAACUCGUGGGGAGUAAAGCAAGAAAAUAAAAAAAGGUGCAUUUUGUCUAUUAAUUUGCUGGCAAGAGUUCUGGAAGAAAAAUGAUAAAGCAGUUAUAGACACUCCUGGUCUUUGUGCUCCUCUUACUCUGCCUCUGGCACCAUGAUCCCCUGGUUACCCGAGUGCUACAUUGUCAUGGGGGCUGUGCCGAGGUGGACUCCAUGACAGAGGCGGUGGCCGGGGAGAGCUUCCUCAUGGACUGAAUCUCCUGUAAGAGGAGGUCCAGGCCCAUACCACGGUUGACUGGCACUUCAGAGCCACAGGAGAGGAGGAGUACAUCCGCAUAAAUCAUAAUGUACGUGCUGAUCGUGGUGCUGCAGCUGUGGAUGUUUGUGGUGCUGAUCCACUGCUACAACAAGAUCUGGGCUGAACACGAGGCGUGGGACGCCCGCAAAACCUUGAGGGCCCAAGAACUGGCCCUAAUAAACGAACCUUUAGACUCAAAGGACAAUUGUGAUGGAGUGCUUCUGGAGUGACUUGUUAUGGUAAACAUCAAAGGUGGAGAACUCUGUCACAAGCAGGUGUUACCACUACACUAGUAGGCUAUUACAUCAUAGAAACAUCAUUUGAAUGUCUUAGCAUAGUGUGUAACACAUGCGGUUUACAAUGUACUUGAUUUACUGUACGAGGUAGUUGCAGCUGGCGUGAGUGGUGAUUAGAUUGACAGGUGGUGCCGAACAGCCUUAGUGUGUCAACUCAACAGAGAAUGUCAUCACGUGAUGGAUCAACAGUUCUGACAAAGCUCUGAUUACAGAUGGUUCCACCUAAGCUACAUAGAACGCUUUGGCAGGAACAACCAUGCAUCUACAUAGAUAGAUCUCAUCUACGACCAUGUUGUUAAAGUUUAUUUUAAUCGCUUUGGUGCUAUUUUCACAACUCUUAAUCCAAAACUCCAAGCUGGUCACACAUGUAAUGCAGC